ensembl:lncRNA
CUAGAACCCAAGGGCUUAACUGCCACUCUAUCUGCAGAAGCCAAAUGAGGAAAUUAUGAUGAAAUAUUUGACCUACAUCGGGAAAUGUCAAUUAAAAUAAGAAGUGCUCUAAAAUUCAUGCUCCGAAAAUCGCCAGAGGAAAAGAAUACGGGUUUGUAGUGAAAAUCUCUCUUUCACAAGAAAAGGCAUUAGAGAUAAAUUUCUUGAUUUUCCCCUGUGUUUGAUCUCCAUACAACUGACAUCCUUGUUUACGUGAUGGCUUCAGCAAGGGAUAGAAGAGACCCUAGUUAGUAGCUUGAGAAGAUGGAAAAAGAAAAGUGGGACAGAAUGAAGAUAAAAGAGUGGCUAAUUAUUGAAGUAAGGUUCUAGAGGAGGCAAUUCAGGAUGGAAUCACGGCAUCAGUAAAAGCAUUAACCUUAGAAAGAACUCAGACAAGAUUUUCACAUGGGGAUGAGCCCAUUUUGAAGGUUCUUGGACUAAUACAUCAGUAAAUUUAAUAAUCUACAAGAAGUAAGAUGAUAAACUAGAAUUUGGAGCAAAUAUAAAGUUUCAGUAGUUGGUGGUAAAAAUGUUAUAGAGAGUCCAUUUGACAUGAACAAAAGGAUUAAAGGACAGCAGUGAAGAUAUGGCUAAGUUUAAAAUAGUAUGAGUUUGCUUGACCUUCAUUUAUAUGCUUUUGUCACAUCAUCUGGUAUUACUCCUGGCAAUCCAGAGUAGAAACGGAUAAAGAAGAUAAGUGUUGGAGAUUUUCCUGAUUGGUAGGCUAGAGUUCCAAGCAAAAUCAACCCUGGAUUGACUGGUUGUGGAUAAUAAAGCAAAGAACAACAAAAGCGAGCUAAUGUGUAGUGAGAUCACAGAAGGACCAAAGGCUAGAGAUCAGGGGCAGGGUUAGGAGCAUAUUAACUGGAAGUGAGAGAGCAAGCAUUUGGAAGGUUGUGACCAAUGAUAGUUAGAGAACUUGAAGGAAUUAAGUAAGAUUCAAAAGGUGUUUUCUUCUGAGGAUGGCUAGAAGUUGAGCAAAGCUGAUGAUAACUGGAGUUGGGGGUUUUGUACACCUCCUCAGAUUCUCCCAAUGGCCUAUUUCUAAGGAAUCCAACCUCCCUGUAGACCACCAGUGAUUUGUUGGUGCCUUGCCUAGUUCUCAGAGGAGGCUCGAGUCAGAUUUAAAAAUACUGGGCCUAAGUUGUCCUCAUUUCUCACAUGCUGAGCCCAUCUUUGCCAACUCAUUUCUGGAUUUCAAUAAAAUGCCACACUACCUGCUUCCUGCACAGCCAGACAAGGCAACAGAAGAGUGCAGGGAAGUCAACUGUCUAGGGGGAAACUUUGACCAGUGGGAAGUGUGAGUCAAAUGGUGCCAGGCAGAUACAUUUCCCUUUCUUUGUCUUUUUGGAAAAUAUUUUGAAUUACAGCCUUUGCUUGCAAUCUUCAUGAAAAAUUCCUGCAUGCCAGAAGAACAUAUCUACUGAGUACCCUACUACGUCUUUCUACAGCUGGUUGAGAAGAGUGGCUAGUGCAAUAACCCACUGUGUUUCAUUGUUUUGCGUCUCUCCUUGCCUUACUAUCAUUUUUCCAUAUGAUCAUUGCC